GAGAAUUCGACAUGUACCCGUUGCCAUUUUUAAAGAGUUCGAGCAACAUAGCCCCCAAGGUUCAUUACUUUUCAACCAAAAUAAGAGGGAGAAUAAGGGGAAUACAGUCUCUUGAAGUAUCAAUUUAAUAAAGGAACACUGAUCUUUAACUUCUCCCGUGAUAUAAACAUCUCUCAUUUGGCACAAAGAGUUGACUAAUGCUUGAACAGGUUCGAAAAUUGUGGAACAGUUAUGAUAACAACUUCAUUAGUGAAUGGAGAAGCAGGAGGUAGAAUGCCAAUGGCAUCAACUACCCAAUGGAUAAGAAUAGAUGGUGAAUUCAUAGUAAAUCAGCAGCAGAUAUAUGAGGCUCUUGACUUGCAUUUUUUAUUGAUGUUAAUGGUACCAAGCUAACUCAAGUGAAACACUCAUAACUUCCUAAUGAGAAUUCAAUCCCUUGCCGGCUGUGGAAGUAACUUCAAAUUCACGAAGUUGCUUUUGGAGGAAGAUGGUUAAUUUUGGUGUUAGCAGUUUUGUGAACUUUGUAAGAUCCAGAAAAGGCUUAAUGAGUAUGCUUCUUGCUCCAAAUUUGGGAAUUCAACAAUAAAUAGUUGGGAAACAUUGAUAAUUCAAUAAGG